CACGUAGGGGGCGAGCGUUGUCCGGAUUUAUUGGGCGUAAAGAGCUCGUAGGCGGCUCGGUAAGUGAGGUGUGAAAACUCCAGGCUCAACCUCGGAGACGCCACCUCAUAACUGCCGUGGCUAGAGUCCGGUAGGGGAGCAUGGAAUUCCUGGUGUAGCGGUGAAAUGCGCAGAUAUCAGGAGGAACACCAGUGGCGAAGGCGGUGCUCUGGGCCGGAACUGACGCUGAGGAGCGAAAGCGUGGGGGAGC
rnacentral:rRNA from 1 species